CAAUAAUGCUAAAAUGAAAAUUAAGUGUUUCUAAACUUAAUGAGUAGCUUGAGAAUGAUAUUAGACAGGUUUUGGAAGUGUGAGGAUAGACACGAAAGGAAUCGAAGUGGAUAAAGAACUUCAAUUGCCUUUGUUACUCGAAAGUUGAAAUAUUAGUCAACCUGGUCAAAAAAAUGAGCAAAAUGAUGCCAAAUUGGAAAGUAAUUAUUUCCAAAUUAAUCUGACAACUUGUAGAGAUAUAUUAGUGUAAUUUGGAAGUGUUGGGAUGAAAUUGGAGUGAGUUGGAUGUGAGAAAUGGGUUGCCAGAGCUGCUGCUGCCAGCAGGGACUAAAUUGUUAAGCUGCAGGGACCAAAUUGUAACAGCAAGGCUGCAAUGCACUUUUGCAAAUUUCAGGGGCUAAGCUGCAAUUUUUGGUCUUAUCUCUUUAAACCUGAUGCUUAUCACUUAACCCCAGCCCACCUGAGAUGGUCCACGUACCAGGGCACCUUUCCACAUCUUUCUUUUUUCAUCUCUUCUCUUUCUUUUUCCCUCAGCCAUGAAGAUUGGUGGAAUUGCUGAAAUUGAAGUCCAUGCUGUUGGAGCAGGGAAUUAAUUGGAGAACCCUCUUUUCUCUCCCUUUCUUUCAUCUCGUUUCUUCUCCUUCUCUCUCUCUCUAGGCUAACUAAAGCUUAAGGAGUUUGGUUGGCAGCCUUGAGGCUUGCGGGUUUGGUGGAGCUACUGAACCGGAAUUUGGGGCUGGAGGGGUGUACGAGCCAGGGAAACCCAGCUGAGGAAACUUGUGACUUGAAGUAAGUAACUAAUUCUCAGCUGGAAUUAUUACAAUAGAUUAAGAGGAGAUUCUAAGUGAUGAAAAGCUUGCGGAAUUAAGCCUUGUGCUGUUGGAGCUAGCAGACUAGACCCUUUGGUCUGUUUGAGUGGCCGAGCAAGCUUUCCAACUGUGGAAGCUUAGAAACAGAUAAAUUAAGAAGGAUUGAGGAAUUGGAGGUUGACAGCUUGGUGUUGCAAGCUGAUUGUUGUUGGGGGUGCUGCCGAAAUGCAGAGGUGGACUAUUUGAAGCUGUGGGCAAGUUAAUUCAGCAGCAAACUGAGAUGUGAAGCUGAAAUUACAGCCUUGGUGGAACUUGGUGAAGUAGUAAAGCAAUGAUUCUUGAAAAUUGCUGUUGGAACCUGAAGCAAGCUAAUUGAGAGUUGAUCUUGGACUGCAGCAGAGGGACCAAGCGGAAGCUUCAGUUGAGAGCAAACUUGUUGAAGGCAUUUGAUUGAGGUUUUGAUGUUGUAAGCUAAAAAGAAGACUUUUCAAAGUAGGAGCAGCUUGAUAGAACCUCAGAAUUAAGGUCGACGACGCGCGAAUUACGGUAGAGACCGUUCUAGUUCUAUUUGCACUGAGUCGCGAGUGAUAGUUGUCGACGCAUUCCGAGACCUUGAUCUUAGUUGAUUGACACCACUACAGGUUCCAGUGUGAGCGUUGUGGCCGAGGAUCGAGGCAAGAGCCAGCAGCCUAG